GUCGAGCGGACAGAAGGGAGCUUGCUCCCGGAUGUUAGCGGCGGACGGGUGAGUAACACGUGGGUAACCUGCCUGUAAGACUGGGAUAACUCCGGGAAACCGGAGCUAAUACCGGAUAGUUCCUUGAACCGCAUGGUUCAAGGAUGAAAGACGGUUUCGGCUGUCACUUACAGAUGGACCCGCGGCGCAUUAGCUAGUUGGUGGGGUAAUGGCUCACCAAGGCGACGAUGCGUAGCCGACCUGAGAGGGUGAUCGGCCACACUGGGACUGAGACACCGCCCAGACUCCUACGGGAGGCAGCAGUAGGGAAUCUUCCGCAAUGGACGAAAGUCUGACGGAGCAACGCCGCGUGAGUGAUGAAGGUUUUCGGAUCGUAAAGCUCUGUAGUUAGGGAAGAACCAGUGCGAGAGUAACUGCUCGCACCUUGA
rnacentral:rRNA from 1 species